rnacentral:rRNA from 1 species
AUUGAACGCUGGCGGCAUGCCUUACACAUGCAAGUCGAACGGCAGCACGGGAGCAAUCCUGGUGGCGAGUGGCGAACGGGUGAGUAAUAUAUCGGAACGUGCCCAGUCGUGGGGAUAACGUAGCGAAAGCUACGCUAAUACCGCAUACGAUCUAUGGAUGAAAGCGGGGGAUCGCAAGACCUCGCGCGAUUGGAGCGGCCGAUAUCAGAUUAGGUAGUUGGUGAGGUAAAGGCUCACCAAGCCGACGAUCUGUAGCUGGUCUGAGAGGACGACCAGCCACACUGGGACUGAGACACGGCCCAGACUCCUACGGGAGGCAGCAGUGGGGAAUUUUUGGACAAAUGGGCGCAAGCCUGAUCCAGCAAUGCCGCGUGCAGGAUGAAGGCCUUCGGUUGUAAAC